GCUCCAGUGGACUUCAGCUGGUUAGAGCAUGGUGCUGAUAACACCAAGGUUGCAGGUUCGAUCCCCACAUGGGACU